AAUUCUCAACCUCAAAAGCUCUUUUGUUUCUGAGGUUUGGAUAUGGAGGCUUUUGCUGGCUUGUUCAGCUCCUCUUAAAUGCAUUAGUGGAAACUUGUUUUGUAGUCCGCAAUUGGUGUGAUAAUUAUCUGCGCCAUUGUAUUUGUUGGCUACAGCUCUUUGGUAGUGUUCGUUUUGGAAAGCUGCAUGAAUGUGCUCUUUCUGUUCUAAUUUGACCUGCUGAGAGUUUGAAUAGGUAUCUGCUUCAAACCGUCCUAAGUUAAUUGGACAAGCUCACUUGAUUA
rnacentral:misc_RNA from 1 species